CCUUGGAAAGGUUGCUUCAUUUCCCCACGCUUUGGUUUCCUCAUCAGUAAAACAGCACUGAUAACAACUCCAUUGGGUCAUUCUGCUAUUCAUCAUAUAAAACAGAAAGUUGCAUGGACAAGAAGGCUGCUGGAACUGGCAAUGUCACCAAGUCUAUUCAGAAAGUGAAGAAGGCGAAGAUCUGAGGAGGCGUUGAGAAGCUACCGCAAUCCCCAUUGCAAGCUGGGGCUCGUACACACGGAACACCACAGCUGAAGGGAACAUGUGUUUUAUUCCUGUGGCAUGCAUCUGCUCACUUCUCAGGACCGAAUGCUCUCUUUCUGUCAGCUCUUACUGUCGGGAACUUGCUGUCUAUCUGGAGAUACAGACAACUGAAUGAAAAGGCACUCUGACAGUGUUUUACUGUGUAACUGGAACACACUAGAGGAAAAUAUAGCACAUAUUCUAUGGUACAUAUGGUAUGUGCUUGCAGAGGAUUGGAGGAGACAUGAGGACCAGCUGUCUGCAGAAAUGGAGAGCUAAGGAGAAAUCAGGAGAGCAUGCCAGAUUUAUCCAAGUAAGAGGGAGAAGAGUACUGUUCUAAGUAGAGACAGCAGCAAGUCAAAGAAAGAGCCUCAAGUGAGCAAGUGACGCACAUUUGGGCUGUGCAGUUGGCACAGCUGGAGCAGACACUGCAAGCUGGGAAGAAAGGAGUUGACUAUUCAAGAGGUAGGCAGGGACCAUCUAGCAGGGAUCAGAAAACUACAGCCCCCGGGGCCGAAUCCAGCCAUAUCCAGUCACAUCUAUUCAUGGAUGUAUACAUGUUUUUACACUACAACGGUAGAAUUGCAUACUGACAACAUAGAUCCUGGUCCACAAAGCCAAACAUAUUCACUAUCUGGCCCUUACAGAAACAGUCUGUCAUUGCGAAGAAACCCGGAUUUUAUGAGGGGAUUGGGAUUUCAGCAGGGGAGAGGCACGACAAAUUUGCAUUUCAGACCGGCCUUUGUGGUGGUUGCCAUGGAGAGUGUGGACUGAGACAGGGACGGACUAGGGUUGGAAGACCAGCAGUGUCUUACUUCUCUAAGGUCUACAGACCCCAUGCCAAGAGGACCAUGUCGCAGUUUUCUUUAUAUCACUUGCUGCACCAAAACAUCAUA